CUAAUUAUUUAAUGAACCAAAAUCAACUGCAAUCCAAAAUUAAUCUCAUCAACAAAAUAAGUUAUCAUUGACUUUAAAUAAGUUAAGUAAAGAGAAAAAGAAAGUCAAAAGCGUUAGAGGGUGAUUUUUUGGCGACGUCAGCUUAAGUCAAAGGAAUUUCUUCUUCGUUCUGGGAGUUGGGGAUGAAUCUAGUAAUGUUUCCGAGUAUCUUAUUGGGGUUAAGAGAGAUCUGGUAAUGAGGGAUGAAUUUUUUUAGAAUAAGAAAGAUUCUAGAUCUGAAGAUUGGGCUAGGAAGGUUAGCAAAUCGCAUGUUGAGUAUGUGACUGAUAUUCCUAUGGAGUUUCGUGAAGCUAGUGUUGUGAAUGGGGAGAGUGAUGGUACUGGAUGAUUAUGAGUUUGGUGUUGAUAUUAAGAAGUGUGAAAGGUUGGUGAUUAGUUGGUUGUUUUUCGGUCGUUGCCUUCCUUUUAUGAUGUUUAAGAGAUUUUAGGAGAAGCUGAAGGGUGAUUUCCAACUUACAAUCCACGAUGACUCUAUGUUUGUCUUUGAUUUACAUAAUAUGGAAGAUAGACUUAUUGCUUUGGAACAUGAAACUCUUUUUAUUGUUGAUCAGUUAUUUCCGGUUAGAGCAUGGACUUCAUUGUUGGACAGCAAGAUUGUUGGGAUGAAGAAUUUACCAUUCUUAAUAAAUUAGUAUAAGGUUCUUAUCUAUUUAUGGAAUUUUAAGAGUUUAAUUUAGAUUACUAGUUAUGUUGAUAAUCUUAUUACGCCUAAUAAUUAAUCAGACGCUCUCUAAACAAAGAAUGGAAUUA